UUGGUCCUACGGGAGGCAGCAGUAGGGAAUCUUCGGCAAUGGGCGAAAGCCUGACUGAGCAACGCCGCGUGAAUGAAGAAGGCCUUCGGGCUGUAAAAUUCUGUUAUAAGGGAAGAAAGGUGAUAGGAGGAAAUGACUAUCAAUUGACGGUACCUUAUGAGAAAGCCACGGCUAACUACGUGCCAGCAGCCGCGGUAAUACGUAGGUGGCAAGCGUUAUCCGGAAUUAUUGGGCGUAAAGAGCGCGCAGGUGGUUAAUUAAGUCUGAUGUGAAAGCCUUCGGCUCAACCGGAGAAUUGCAUCAGA
rnacentral:rRNA from 1 species